rnacentral:rRNA from 1 species
CCUACGGGAGGCAGCAGUGGGGAAUAUUGCACAAUGGGGGAAACCCUGAUGCAGCGACGCCGCGUGAGUGAAGAAGUAUUUCGGUAUGUAAAGCUCUAUCAGCAGGAACGAGACAAGACGGUACCUGACUAAGAAGCCCCGGCUAACUACGUGCCAGCAGCCGCGGUAAUACGUAGGGGGCAAGCGUUAUCCGGAAUCACUGGGUGUAAAGGGAGCGUAGACGGCUGAGCAAGCCUGAAGUGAAAGGCGGGGGACCAACCCCCGGACUGCUUUGGGAACUGUACGGCUGGAGUGCAGGAGAGGUAAGUGGAAUUCCUAGUGUAGCGGUGAAAUGCGUAGAUAUUAGGAGGAACACCAGUGGCGAAGGCGGCUUACUGGACUGUAACUGACGUUGAGGCUCGAAAGCGUGGGGAGCAAACAGGAUUAGAUACCCUUGUAGUC